UUCCGGUUGAUCCUGCCGGACCCGACUGCUAUUUGGGUGAGGAUAAGCCAUGCGAGUUGAAUGGGAAACCUAAAGUUCCCAUGGCAAACUGCUCAGUAACACAUGAUCAACUUACCCUAUAGAGAAAAAUAACCUCGGGAAACUGAGGAUAAUGUUUCAUAGUUGAAUUGGCUUGGAAAAGUUUUUCGACGAAAGGGGUAAAAAAAAUGGUUUUUAUCUGCUAUAGGAUAGGAUCGUGUUCGAUUAUGGUUGUUGGUGAGGUAAUGGCUCACCAAGCCGAUAAUCGAUAGGGGCCGUGAGAGCGGGAGCCCCGAGAUGGGUACUGAGACAACGACCCAGGCCUUACGAGGCGCAGCAGGCGCGAAACCUCCGCAAUACACGAAAGUGUGACGGGGUUACCCAAAGUGUUCAAUUUUGAACUGUGGUAGGUGAGUAAUGUUCCCUACUAGAAAGGAGAGGGCAAGGCUGGUGCCAGCCGCCGCGGUAAAACCAGCUCUUCAAGUGGUCGGGAUAAUUAUUGGGCUUAAAGUGUCCGUAGCCGGUUUAGUAAGUUCCUGGUAAAAUCGGGUAGCUUAACUAUCUAUAUGCUAGGAAUACUACUAUACUAGAGGGCGGGAGAGGUCUGAGGUACUACAGGGGUAGGGGUGAAAUCUUAUAAUCCUUGUUGGACCACCAGUGGCGAAGGCGUCAGACUGGAACGCGCCUGACGGUGAGGGACGAAAGCCAGGGGAGCGAACCGGAUUAGAUACCCGGGUAGUCCUGGCCGUAAACGAUGCAUACUAGGUGAUGGCACGGCCAUGAGCCGUGUCAGUGCCGUAGGGAAACCGUUAAGUGUGCCGCCUGGGAAGUACGGUCGCAAGGCCAAAACUUAAAGGAAUUGGCGGGGGAGCACCACAAGGGGUGAAGCCUGCGGUUCAAUUGGAUUCAACGCCGGA
rnacentral:rRNA from 1 species